UCAGAUUGAACGCUGGCGGCAGGCCUAACACAUGCAAGUCGAGCGGAUGACGGGAGCUUGCUCCUUGAUUCAGCGGCGGACGGGUGAGUAAUGCCUAGGAAUCUGCCUGGUAGUGGGGGACAACGUUUCGAAAGGAACGCUAAUACCGCAUACGUCCUACGGGAGAAAGCAGGGGACCUUCGGGCCUUGCGCUAUCAGAUGAGCCUAGGUCGGAUUAGCUAGUUGGUGGGGUAAUGGCUCACCAAGGCGACGAUCCGUAACUGGUCUGAGAGGAUGAUCAGUCACACUGGAACUGAGACACGGUCCAGACUCCUACGGGAGGCAGCAGUGGGGAAUAUUGGACAAUGGGCGAAAGCCUGAUCCAGCCAUGCCGCGUGUGUGAAGAAGGUCUUCGGAUUGUAAAGCACUUUAAGUUGGGAGGAAGGGCAGUAAGUUAAUACCUUGCUGUUUUGACGUUACCGACAGAAUAAGCACCGGCUAACUCUGUGCCAGCAGCCGCGGUAAUACAGAGGGUGCAAGCGUUAAUCGGAAUUACUGGGCGUAAAGCGCGCGUAGGUGGUUUGUUAAGUUGGAUGUGAAAGCCCCGGGCUCAACCUGGGAACUGCAUCCAAAACUGGCAAGCUAGAGUACGGUAGAGGGUGGUGGAAUUUCCUGUGUAGCGGUGAAAUGCGUAGAUAUAGGAAGGAACACCAGUGGCGAAGGCGACCACCUGGACUG
rnacentral:rRNA from 1 species